CCCGGAGGUCACUGCCAGAACCUUCUCAGACGUGCCCUCAAAGGAGCCUCAGAAUGUGAGCGUUGAGGCUGCCAGCUCAAGGAACCUCAUCAUCUGCUGGGAGCCUCCGCUGGCCGAGCACCAGAAUGGGAUCAUCACCAGCUGCAAGAUCCGCUACAAAGAGCGCGGCGAGUCAGGUUCCUCCAAGACCAAAGCCACAGACGGAAACAGACGACUCUUUGCCCUCAAGAAAAGCACCACAUACUCCAUAAAGAGGUGCCAAAGGAAGGCUCGUCCAGCCACGCCCUGCAGCCAGCCAUCCCUCAUUCCCUCCUGCUCGUUCUCCUCAAGUAAAGAUUAUUUGCCCCGAGGAACAACCUCCUGGAUCUUCUACUGAAUACAU